GAUUGAACGCUGGCGGCAGGCUUAACACAUGCAAGUCGAGCGGAAACGAUGAUAGCUUGCUAUCAGGCGUCGAGCGGCGGACGGGUGAGUAAUACUUAGGAAUCUACCUAGUAGUGGGGGAUAGCACGGGGAAACUCGUAUUAAUACCGCAUACGACCUACGGGAGAAAGGGGGCAGUUUACUGCUCUCGCUAUUAGAUGAGCCUAAGUCGGAUUAGCUAGAUGGUGGGGUAAAGGCCUACCAUGGCGACGAUCUGUAGCUGGUCUGAGAGGAUGAUCAGCCACACCGGGACUGAGACACGGCCCGGACUCCUACGGGAGGCAGCAGUGGGGAAUAUUGGACAAUGGGGGAAACCCUGAUCCAGCCAUGCCGCGUGUGUGAAGAAGGCCUUUUGGUUGUAAAGCACUUUAAGCAGUGAAGAAGACUCCGUGGUUAAUACCCACGGACGAUGACAUUAGCUGCAGAAUAAGCACCGGCUAACUCUGUGCCAGCAGCCGCGGUAAUACAGAGGGUGCAAGCGUUAAUCGGAAUUACUGGGCGUAAAGGGAGCGUAGGUGGCUCUAUAAGUCAGAUGUGAAAUCCCCGGGCUCAACCUGGGAACUGCAUCUGAAACUGUAGAGCUAGAGUAUGUGAGAGGAAGGUAGAAUUCCAGGUGUAGCGGUGAAAUGCGUAGAGAUCUGGAGGAAUACCGAUGGCGAAGGCAGCCUUCUGGCAUAAUACUGACACUGAGGCUCGAAAGCGUGGGUAGCAAACAGGAUUAGAUACCCUGGUAGUCCACGCCGUAAACGAUGUCUACUAGUCGUUGGGUCCCUUGAGGACUUAGUGACGCAGCUAACGCAAUAAGUAGACCGCCUGGGGAGUACGGCCGCAAGGUUAAAACUCAAAUGAAUUGACGGGGGCCCGCACAAGCGGUGGAGCAUGUGGUUUAAUUCGAUGCAACGCGAAGAACCUUACCUGGUCUUGACAUAUCUAGAAUCCUGCAGAGAUGCGGGAGUGCCUUCGGGAAUUAGAAUACAGGUGCUGCAUGGCUGUCGUCAGCUCGUGUCGUGAGAUGUUGGGUUAAGUCCCGCAACGAGCGCAACCCUUGUCCUUAGUUACCAGCGGGUUAAGCCGGGAACUCUAAGGAUACUGCCAGUGACAAACUGGAGGAAGGCGGGGACGACGUCAAGUCAUCAUGGCCCUUACGACCAGGGCUACACACGUGCUACAAUGGUAGGUACAGAGGGCAGCUACACAGCGAUGUGAUGCGAAUCUCAAAAAGCCUAUCGUAGUCCAGAUUGGAGUCUGCAACUCGACUCCAUGAAGUAGGAAUCGCUAGUAAUCGCGGAUCAGAAUGCCGCGGUGAAUACGUUCCCGGGCCUUGUACACACCGCCCGUCACACCAUGGGAGUUGAUUGCACCAGAAGUGGAUAGCUUAACCUUCGGGGAGGCGUUCACCACGGUGUGGUUGAUGACUGGGGUGA
rnacentral:rRNA from 1 species